rnacentral:rRNA from 1 species
UACGGAGGGUGCGAGCGUUGUCCGGAAUCACUGGGCGUAAAGGGCGCGUAGGCGGCGCGGGAAGUCCGUGGUGAAAGCCCGAGGCUCAACUUCGGGUCGGCCAUGGAUACUCCUGGGCUUGAGCACUGUAGAGGCAGGUGGAAUUCCGGGUGUAGCGGCGGAAUGCGUAGAGAUCCGGAAGAACACCGGUGGCGAAGGCGGCCUGCUGGGCAGUAGCUGACGCUGAGGCGCGACAGCGUGGGGAGCAAACAGG